rnacentral:rRNA from 1 species
UACGUAGGGUGCGAGCGUUGUCCGGAAUUAUUGGGCGUAAAGAGCUCGUAGGCGGCUUGUUGCGUCGGAUGUGAAAGCCCGGGGCUUAACUCCGGGUCUGCAUUCGAUACGGGCAGGCUAGAGUUCGGUAGGGGAGAUCGGAAUUCCUGGUGUAGCGGUGAAAUGCGCAGAUAUCAGGAGGAACACCGGUGGCGAAGGCGGAUCUCUGGGCCGAUACUGACGCUGAGGUGCGAAAGCGUGGGGAGCAAACAGG